CUCUCUCUCUCUCUCUCUCUCUCUCUCUCAAAACCUACCAAUUGUUGGGACAAGAGCCAUCAUAGACGUCGGUUGUAUUGGUAGUGGCACAUGGAUCAGAUGGUAAUUCGCCACCAGAAAUUGAUGUUGAGAUGCUGAUGGAUUCAAGGAUCCUUUGUUAGGAGAUUAGCGCAAGAAUUUCCUAUGUGGCAGGUUAAUCUGUCUACUGGUCAAAUGGUGGAUUUGAUACCUUGAUGCCUACCAAACAUAGCCAAUAGGCACAAUUAGUGGAAGGGACUGUUUGGUAGGUUGGAUUGGGAAGGAAACUUCCCCACUUCCAUCACGGACCCUCAGCCCAUGGGUAAGGUUGGCAUGUGCUUUCACCUAUGCCUGGUGUUUACUA